UGAUAUUUUAUCAUAGAUUAUUGUCAUCGUAUUACUUAUGAUAACUCUGUAGGAGUUUUAAUGAUUUUCAAAACAAAUAUUAGUUUGAUCAAUAUAUUUUGACAAACUCAACGUAAAUAUACAUUUAUAUGAUUAUAUGUCAUGUUACAUAUUUCUUUUUAUUCGAUCGAGUAGAGUUCUAGAGAACAUAAUUCUCAUAUAAUUAAUCCUUCAGAGAUUAUAUCUUUCAAGAAUUUUAUAUAAAUGUCAUAUCCAGUGUUCCGUCUCUUAUUGCCAGACUUUAGAUACUUAAAAAAAAUAUUACAUCCACCACAAGAGAAUAUAUCUCUUCAUAAUACAUUUCUUAUCUUUGUGAAAAUCUCAUUAAUUUCACUAUUCUUUCACAUAAAGACUCAUUUAUUUUCCACUGGUUUUACACAUCAUGUGCAUAGAUUACUAGUCCAAAUAUCUCUACUAGAGAUUAUAAUUAUAUGUCUAUUUCUUCUUUUCCAUUUUUUUUGCUAAUCAUUACUUUGUGUACACUUUUCAAUAGACUUUCUUUCAUGAUCCUCCUUUUUGUCUAUAAUAUCAACUGCUCAUAGCAUGCAAAUAUAUUACGAUGUCGAUUUGCUUUUGAUUCCAUUAUAUUUUGACAUGACAUAGCUAGCUAGAUCUCUUCAUUGUCAAGUACUUGAAUGUUUCAUUUGUCAUGUUUAUGUCUCUUUUAGAGAUCAUUCACUCUCUUCAAGAGAUCAUCAAAAUAUUUAUUUCCUCAAUUUGGUCAUUUUUAAUUUUGUGCUCCUUCACUUUUACGAGGAUAUUUAUAUUUGGAACCAAGGUCUAUUACGCUUCAUGCGAUCUUAAGACUCAAAAGCAGUUUGAAAUUGGUCCUUACAGGACAUUCAUUAUAUUCUGGAGCAUUUAAUUUACAACUGAUAUAAGUGACUUCAUCACUUUAUUUGGGUCAGCAAAUGCGUCUGGCAAUUACAACGCUAAAUUCUGUAAUUGAAUUAUCUUUUGGACUCUUAAUAUACAUUCUUUACUCCGAGGAUCAUUGAUAAUUCAUUUCUAUUUAUCUUUUUCACCAGCUGUAUACAUUCUCCCCCUUAUGUUGGAAUAGCUGACUAUAUAAUAUGAUAGUCUUCAAAACGAGCGGUAUAUAAAUCCUUCUAAGAUGGCUUAGUUAUCAUUCAUAUCCAACAUGUAUUCUUAUCCUCCUUUGAGGGUUCAUCUCUGCGUGCUGUGGUGGAGCACUUUUCACAUUCAAAGCUUUUAGAUGAAAACUAUUUGGUUUCUGACCCAAAACCAAUAAUAAUGGGGAAAACUAUUAAUUAUUCAUUGGCUUGAUGCGUAUCGAUGUUACUAAACCAUUUUGUGUAUGAACAUGAAUUUCAAAAUGUUAAACACUUAUCCCAACGGAUAUCUAAUAAUGGUUAUUAUAAAUAAACACUGAAAUACUCUUGUACUUUAAUCAAGAAAGUAAUCUCGCAAACUCUAUGUUGCGGGUUUAUAACAAGGAUAAAUAUGACCUUCUUGUCGAUUCAACAAUCGAGUCAAUGCGUCCAUUGAAUCGAUGCAUCUUUUACAACCAUUAGGUAUCUAAAUGUCAUAUACUGGGUGAUCAACCCAUAAUUAUCUUCUUGUAUAUACUUACGAAUAGAUAAAGUCCAAAUUACUUACACUGGUAAAAAUCACAUUAUCAUAUUGCUUUCUGAGCAAGUAACAUUUGAUAAAUCAUUAGAGAGAAUCUUCUGGUUUUUCACCUAAUGUCCACAUAAUUCUCAAUACUUUCACAUCAUCAUUAAACCAGGAUGACCAAUCCGGUUAAGCCAAAUAUACUCUUGAAACUUUUAAUUCUUUUGAAACUUCUAGUUCUUUCAAAACUUCUAAUUUACUUUUCAUUGCUUAUCACUUACUCCCUUAAUGAGAUCUUAUAAUCAAAAUUACUUCCAUGUAUUUUAAUAAUCAAUCAUAUGUUAAUAAAACAAUAACGAGAUAAUAAUUAAAAUUUUAUAUUCUAGUAUAAACGAUAUUAAAUUUGACUAGCUAUGUAAGAUCUUAUAUUCACUUGAGUUACUUAUCAGUGAUAACUCUUAUGUUUUCUUAGCCUUUGAAAAACACUCGAUUUAAGUUUAUAAUAGUUCUCAAAAUUUCUUUCAAAAUAUUGUAUCUACAGGACAACAAUACUUGCGUAAAAGUUUAAGCGUCUGUUUUACCAUCUCUGCAUCAUAGAUAUUCUCUUAACAAUGUGAGUUAUAUUCACAAAGAGACUUCAAGUCUUGAAGUUUCAGUAAUAACUAAUUAUAACUUAUUUUAUCUAAUAACACAUCCAUAUAAGAAUUAUUUUGUACAACUUUUAGAUCUUUAGUAGUCAAAGAUUGAACAUAAUCUUCUGGAUAUGUCACUUAUUAUCCAUGUGAGAUUCAUUACUUCUCCUCCUCGAAAUGAUGAAACUUCAAGUUCAUCCAUCUCGUUUUUAAUUCCACUCUAGAAUCAUAAUGUAUUUUAUAUCUGAUCAUAUUAACUUUAAGAUUUGGAGAAUUAUAUGGCAUCAAUGAUUUUAAUUUUGUAUUCCCAUAAAAAACAAUGUAUAUGCUCUUCUAGAGUCUUUUAAUAAGAUUUUAUACUACUUGAUAUACUAGAUUAUUUCAUCGUUAGAAAUUUUU
rnacentral:sRNA from 1 species